rnacentral:rRNA from 1 species
UACGUAGGGGGCAAGCGUUGUCCGGAAUCAUUGGGCGUAAAGAGCGCGUAGGCGGUCCGGUAAGUCCGCUCUGAAAGUCCGGGGCUCAACCCCGGGAGGCGGGCGGAUACUGCCGGGCUAGAGUCCGGAAGAGGCGAGUGGAAUUCCGCGUGUAGCAGUGAAAUGCGUAGAGAUGCGGAGGAACACCGAUGGCGAAGGCAGCCCCCUGGGCUAACACUGACGCUCAGGCACGAAAGCGUGGGGAGCAAACAGG